rnacentral:rRNA from 1 species
CCUACGGGAGGCAGCAGUGGGGAAUAUUGCACAAUGGGGGAAACCCUGAUGCAGCAACGCCGCGUGAGUGAAGAAGUAUUUCGGUAUGUAAAGCUCUAUCAGCAGGGAAGAAGAAAGACGGUACCUGACUAAGAAGCCCCGGCUAACUACGUGCCAGCAGCCGCGGUAAUACGUAGGGGGCGAGCGUUAUCCGGAUUCACUGGGUGUAAAGGGAGCGUAGACGGCCAAGCAAGCCAGGGGUGAAAGCCCGGGGUCCAACCCCGGGACUGCCCUUGGAACUGCAUGGCUGGAGUGC